GAACGGCAGCACAGGUAGCUAUACCGGGUGGCGAGUGGCGGACGGGUGAGGAAUACAUCGGGACCUGCCCAGACGUGGGGGAUAACGUAGGGAAACUUACGCUAAUACCGCAUACGUCCUACGGGAGAAAGCGGGGGAUCGCAAGACCUCGCGCGGUUGGAUGGACCGAUGUUCGAUUAGCUAGUUGGUAGGGUAAUGGCCUACCAAGGCGACGAUCGAUAGCUGGUCUGAGAGGAUGAUCAGCCACACUGGGACUGAGACACGGCCCAGACUCCUACGGGAGGCAGCAGUGGGGAAUAUUGGACAAUGGGCGCAAGCCUGAUCCAGCAAUGCCGCGUGUGUGAAGAAGGCCUUCGGGUUGUAAAGCACUUUUAUCAGGAGCGAAAUACUACCGGCUAAUACCCGGUGGGGCUGACGGUACCUGAGGAAUAAGCACCGGCUAACUUCGUGCCAGCAGCCGCGGUAAU
rnacentral:rRNA from 1 species